AGAGUUUGAUCCUGGCUCAGGACGAACGCUGGCGGCGCGCCUAACACAUGCAAGUCGAACGAGAGAGAGGGAGCUUGCUUCCUCAAUCGAGUGGCGAACGGGUGAGUAACGCGUGAGGAACCUGCCUCAAAGAGGGGGACAACAGUUGGAAACGACUGCUAAUACCGCAUAAGCCCACAGGUCGGCAUCGACCAGAGGGAAAAGGAGCAAUCCGCUUUGAGAUGGCCUCGCGUCCGAUUAGCUAGUUGGUGAGGUAACGGCCCACCAAGGCAACGAUCGGUAGCCGGACUGAGAGGUUGAACGGCCACAUUGGGACUGAGACACGGCCCAGACUCCUACGGGAGGCAGCAGUGGGGAAUAUUGCACAAUGGGGGAAACCCUGAUGCAGCGACGCCGCGUGGAGGAAGAAGGUCUUCGGAUUGUAAACUCCUGUUGUUGAGGAAGAUAAUGACGGUACUCAACAAGGAAGUGACGGCUAACUACGUGCCAGCAGCCGCGGUAAAACGUAGGUCACAAGCGUUGUCCGGAAUUACUGGGUGUAAAGGGAGCGCAGGCGGGAAGACAAGUUGGAAGUGAAAUCUAUGGGCUCAACCCAUAAACUGCUUUCAAAACUGUUUUUCUUGAGUAGUGCAGAGGUAGGCGGAAUUCCCGGUGUAGCGGUGGAAUGCGUAGAUAUCGGGAGGAACACCAGUGGCGAAGGCGGCCUACUGGGCACCAACUGACGCUGAGGCUCGAAAGUGUGGGUAGCAAACCAGGAUUAGAUACCCUGGUAGUCCACACCGUAAACGAUGAUUACUAGGUGUUGGAGGAUUGACCCCUUCAGUGCCGCAGUUAACACAAUAAGUAAUCCACCUGGGGAGUACGACCGCAAGGUUGAAACUCAAAGGAAUUGACGGGGGCCCGCACAAGCAGUGGAGUAUGUGGUUUAAUUCGACGCAACGCGAAGAACCUUACCAAGUCUUGACAUCCUGCGACGAUGCUGGAAACAGUAUUUUCCUUCGGGACGCAGAGACAGGUGGUGCAUGGUUGUCGUCAGCUCGUGUCGUGAGAUGUUGGGUUAAGUCCCGCAACGAGCGCAACCCUUACUGUCAGUUACUACGCAAGAGGACUCUGGCAGGACUGCCGUUGACAAAACGGAGGAAGGUGGGGAUGACGUCAAAUCAUCAUGCCCUUUAUGACUUGGGCUACACACGUACUACAAUGGCGUUAAACAAAGAGAAGCAAGACCGCGAGGUGGAGCAAAACUCAGAAACAACGUCCCAGUUCGGACUGCAGGCUGCAACUCGCCUGCACGAAGUCGGAAUUGCUAGUAAUCGUGGAUCAGCAUGCCACGGUGAAUACGUUCCCGGGCCUUGCACACACCGCCCGUCA
rnacentral:rRNA from 1 species